AAUCUGCCAAUCUCAAUUGGCAAACUGAUACACUUGAGGUACAUCAACUUUGAGGGUUCUGCAAUUGAAACUUUGCCGGGAUCUGUUUGCAAACUUUAUAAUUUGCAAACACUGAGGCUAAACAGAUCCGCUCUUAAGGUUCUUCUGAAGGGGAUGUGCGAUUUGAUUAGCUUGAGACAUCUCCACUUUUACACCCUUGCUGAAGAAUUUCAAAUGCCUUCAGACACUAGAGUUCUUUAAAGUGGGUCGAGUGAAGGGUCGACAAAUUGGAGAGCUUAGAAGCUUGAAGAACCUCAAAGGCAAAUUGGAGAUACGCAAUCUGGAACUAGUAAAGGAUAAGGAAGGAGCUGAGGAAGCAAAACUAUUUGAAAAGGCUAAUCUAUUUAGUUUGCGAUUUGAGUGGGCCUUGCUCCGCGAAAAACAAGGCGACAACUACAACGACAAAGAUGUGUUGGAUGGCCUUCAACCCCACCCAAAUUUGGAGGAGUUGGUAAUUUGGCGUUUUAUGGGCGAUCAAUUUCCUCGAUGGUUAAUGGAUUUGCCAACAACACUCCCCAAGUUAGCGUGUUUGGAAUUUAAUUGCUGCCACAGAUGCAGAGAACUCCUUCCCCUGCAAAACUUUACGUCUCUUAAAGAGCUGGUGAUUGAUGAGUGCGAUGAGUUGACGAAUCUGCCAGGUGACAUGCUACACUCUUGUGCCUCUCUCCAAAAGCUUCGGGUGGUUUGUUGCGACAAUCUUAUCUCCUUUCCGCUUGAUUUGCAACAAACGCCUUCUCUCUAGAAGCUGAAAUUAUUGUGGUGUCGCAAACUGAAAACAAGCAUGAUGCCCAAAGGAUUUGGUUUCCUAACCAGCUUAAGGGAGCUUACAAUUGGUCCCUUCUUAGAUGAUGGUGAUGAUCAUGAAAAUUCUUCAAUUUACAAUGAGUUUGAUUGGUCUGGAUUGAUAUCCUCCUCCUCCUCCUCUUCAUCAUCCGCACUCCGUGAAUUAUACUUAUAUGGGUUGCCACACAUGGAGUCCCUGCCACCUCAGAUCCAAUACUUGACCGCUCUCACGUCACUCGCGCUAGGUUACUUUGGAGGUAUAAAAGCUCUGCCAGAUUGGUUCGGAAACUUCGCUGCUCUUGAAGAACUAUAUUUAUAUGAUUUCAAAGAGCUUGGACAUCUACCCUCUGAGGAUGCCAUGAGAAGUCUCACCAAACUAAAAUGUCUGCACGUUUAUGGUUCUCCUGUGUUAAAAGAAAGAUGCACUCCUGAGAGCAGCAGCCCCGACUCCCAGUGGUCCAAAGUUUCUCACAUUCAAUACCUACACAUAACCGAUGAUUAACCACUCAUCUCAGAUCAAAUUCAAUCAUGAUCGAUAGAAGAAUAGCUUCACGAACAGAGGUCAAAAUUUGAAUCUUCUUCAGCACCAUCUAUAUGGCUAGACCUCAAUAACUUUUGGCCUGCGUUUCCUACAAAUUGCUUAUCAACGUUUAGAACAACUAGCAGUCUAGUUUUGUUUAUUUUACAUGCUCUGUUUCUGUGGAUUUUAAGUCAUUAUUGCUAAAGUCAUCUCACUCUGUUUAAAAUUGUGAUUCUAAGGGGACUGAACUUUUACCUCGUCUCUUGAUAAUGAACUUGCAUACUUAUCUGAACUAUUUGACUAGUAAUUGCUCCAUCGGAGUCAUAUAUGAUGGUUUUCUGGCUCACUUUUCCUUGAUUUUGGCUUUUUAUCCAUGAAGACAAUGGUCAAUUGAGGAGUUUUCGCAGCUGUUGGUCAUCACUUUCAUGUUUUGGUUCAAAAAUUCUGAAAUCUUGCCGUCACGAAGAUAUUUUUGAGGUAGCCAAGGAAGGGGUGUACUGUUUGAGCAAUGAAGUUGCACAAAACUUGGCGGAGUAUCUUCCAACAUUCAACUCUAAGCGCAAUGUUUUGAAGCAUUCUGGUAGUUAGUCAAAUCUACCUGCUGUGACUUGCUGAUCUUGAUGAGUCCACCUUGAUAGAGGCUUUUAAGCUCUCUCUGCUUUUAUGAUUGUUGUUUGCUUCUUUUUUUAUGUGACUGUAGGCUUAAAGCUCAGUCGGGGAACUAAAGUACCGCCUUCACUUUUGAAAAUCCUCUCUUUCCUUCAAAGUAUAUCAACGGAUAAUUGAAGCAACAACAGACCAUAAAGACUUCAGGAGUUUCCAAAGCUGUUGGCUGUUAAACUGGUUUUUGGUUCUCAGAGUCCAGUAAGCCACAGAAGAUGUCUGUUCAUGCAAUAAAGCUGCACGGACUUGUUGGAGUAUCUUCUAACAAAUCAAGUCUAAGCUGCAACUUUUGAAGCAUAUCGCCGUAGUUAGUCAAGACUGUCAAACAUACUUGCUGCCUGCUGCUACUUGCUGCAAUUGUUUCAUCCGCUGUGAUGAAGGCUAUUAAGCUCAUCCCACCUUCUAUACUUGUUGGUUGCUCCUCUCUUCAUGAUGAAAACAUCCAGGAUGGAAUUCUCUUUUGCUCUCUGCCUUGGAUGGCUAAAGCCUGAGAUCUUCCUUGUUGGCUCGUGAUUUUAAACUGUCCAACCAUUCAGCAAUUUGUAGACAUGUUAAUGAGGUGUUCUUUUACUUCUUUUGGAACUCAAUUUGCCAUAUCUUCUGUGGUGCUUGUAGUUCAAAGUAGCCAGUAUUUUGCAGCAGAAAGAUGUGGAUUAGCUGAACCCUGAUAGCUGCUUGCAUCCUUCUUGAAGUUGUAUCUUAGCUCUAUAACAGGCAACAUAUUUUUUCUCAAGUGUUCUGCAGUUGACUACAGGUUGUGUCGGAUGGAACUUUUCCAUUGCUCCUUGUAUCUGUAAAGCUCAGACAGGACUCAGACAACAAAGAAUCAGUCAGAUUGAGCCCUUCUAUUUAUGUUAAUUUGAGAGAAAACUGAAUUGCUAAGGCA